rnacentral:rRNA from 1 species
ACGAAGGGGGCUAGCGUUGUUCGGAAUUACUGGGCGUAAAGCGCGCGCAGGCGGUUCGUCAAGUUGGGGGUGAAAUCCCCGGGCUCAACCCGGGAAUGGCCUUCAAAACUGUCGAGCUAGAGGACGAGAGAGGUGAGUGGAAUUCCCAGUGUAGAGGUGAAAUUCGUAGAUAUUGGGAAGAACACCGGUGGCGAAGGCGGCUCACUGGCUCGUUUCUGACGCUGAGGCGCGAAAGCGUGGGGAGCAAACAGGAUUAGAUACCCUGGUAGUCCACGCCGUAAACGAUGAGUGCCAGGUGUCGGGGGACUUAGUCCUUCGGCGCCGCAGCUAACGCCUUAAGCACUCCGCCUGGGGAGUACGGCCGCAAGGUUA